AACGUAGGACGCAAGCGUUAUCCGGAGUUACUGGGCGUAAAGCGCGGGCAGGCGGCUCGAAACGUCUGAUGUGAAAGCACCCGGCUCAACCGGGUGAGGCCAUUGGAAACGGUCGAGCUGGAGGGCAGUAGAGGUAGGCGGAAUUCCGGGUGGAGUGGUGAAAUGUGUUGAUAUUGGAAGGAACACCGGAGGCGAAAGCGGUGUACUGGGGCUGGUCUGACGCUGAGGCACGAAAGCCAGGGGAGCGAACGGG
rnacentral:rRNA from 1 species